UACGUAGGUGGCAAGCGUUGUCCGGAUUUAUUGGGCGUAAAGGGCGCGCAGGCGGUCCGUUAAGUCCGAGGUGAAAUCUCCCGGCUCAACUGGGAGGGGUCUUCGGAUACUGGCGGACUUGAGGAGUGCAGAGGCGAGUGGAAUUCCUGGUGUAGCGGUGAAAUGCGCAGAUAUCAGGAGGAACACCAAUGGCGAAGGCAGCUCGCUGGGACGUGACUGACGCUGAGACGCGAAAGCGUGGGGAGCAAACAGG
rnacentral:rRNA from 1 species